UCGUAACCCCCCAAAUUAGCGCCGGAGCACACGGGCUAAUGAGCUCACUGUGAUCCUGUAGGUUACAAUAACUCCAUCAGACCCAGCUCAGAGACUGCGCAUCGGACUACAGUUGCGCGCUAAAGUUGUAACAAUGAUAGACUGACUGAUAAUUAAAUGGGUCAGACCAAGGCGACUCGUCACACUUUUGCUCAGGUUUAUUUUUGAAAGUCAGUUGCUGUAUAGGGUCAAAAAAAAAAAAAAAGCUGUUGAAUAUAUUUAUUAUUGUUGGACAGGAAAAAAGAUUCACUGAACACAUGUUGACCUUUCGUCAACAAUAGCGGGGCAUGUUGUCACACGGUAUGAGGACUGGCACAAGGUGGGCAGGAGGGUUUUGACAAAGACAUUGGCACCCAGACGGAGCCUCAGCCGCAGGAAAAUGCUGAUUGGUUGAUGGCACCACAAGAACGAACCCUUUGCUAAAAACUGUCCUGAGCUGUGAUGUGAUUGGUGUAGUUAUGGCAUCUACCAGCAGGGGCAAAUUUCUGAAGCUAACCAGCGAAACCUUGACCCCAUGUUCAGACCUGAACAUAAACAGCUUCUUGUGUUUGUGUGCUCAACUCUCAUAAAAAGCCUCUUUAGCAGGAAAAAGAGCAGCUUGCGCAUCCUGCUAUACCCUUCAAAAGACACGAGGAUCUUCCUCACUGCACUACUUAUGAUGGAUAGGAGGCCUUAAUGAGCUUCUUACAAGCAAUUAAAUAAUCAGGGAGCCCUGCUGUUUGCCGAUGAGGCUUUAGAGAGCGCUGACAAACGGUGGGCCAUCAGCGCUCCAAUCAACAGGACAUGGCGCUCAGUGCUGUCACCAAUGCUAUUUUAAACAAUGACUCUCUGCACUGCCGAGAAAACACUCAUAGGAAUUAUGCUCACAGGAGUGGGAAAGUUUUGUACAGGCAUUUACGUCAAGUGUUUUGCAAUUGUAUCUUUCUUGGCCGCACAGAUGCGCUGUAACAGUUUGAUGUGUUAGUGUGUUAUUCAUUUUACCAUAGUAAAUAGCUGUUAUUUUAUUCAUGGAACACAAUAAGGGAAAUUUUGAAGAAUCUUCCUGCAGAUCUUUUCCAGCAAGUGUUUGAGAAGAUUUGAGAAGGGAAGAUCAUCUAUGCGUAACAACUUAAAUUUCAGCCUGUUUCCAACAUAAAUCUAUCAUAUGGCUUUAAAUAUUUUUUUGAGUUCUAUGGGCUACAUUUAUAGCUAUGUUAUAGGAAUUUUUGUAAUUUCUGGAACUUUUUCCGUGAAAAAAUAACAACAUAAGGGUCUGGAAUGACAUGAAAUUGGUUAAAUAAUGACAGAUUUUUUUUAUUUUCCAAAAGUUUGGAAUCAAGCAGAUUUAUUUUUUUAUUUUUUUAUUUGUAAAAAAAGGAAAAAGAAGAAAGAAUCAAGAAUGCAUUAAAUUGAUUAAAAAUUACAAUA